UACAGAGGUCUCAAGCGUUGUUCGGAAUCACUGGGCGUAAAGGGUGCGUAGGCUGUGUUGUAAGUCAGAGGUGAAAUCCCGGGGCUCAACCCCGGAACUGCCUCCGAUACUGCAAGACUUGAGGACUGGAGAGGAGAUUGGAAUUCAUGGUGGAGCAGUGAAAUGCGUAGAUAUCAUGAGGAACGCUAGUGGCGUAGGCGAAUCUCUGGACAGUUCCUGACGCUGAGGCACGAAGGCCAGGGGAGCAAACGGGAUUAGAUACCCCGGUAGUCCUGGCAGUAAACGGUGCACGCUUGGUGUGGGAGGAAUCGACCCCUUCCGUGCCGGAGCUAACGCGUUAAGCGUGCCGCCUGGGAAGUACGGUCGCAAGACUA
rnacentral:rRNA from 1 species